AUACGUAGGGGGCGAGCGUUGUCCGGAAUGACUGGGCGUAAAGGGCGUGUAGGCGGCUGUCUAAGUCUGGAGUGAAAGUCCUGCUUUCAAGGUGGGAAUUGCUUUGGAGACUGGAUGGCUUGAGUGCGGAAGAGGUAAGUGGAAUUCCCAGUGUAGCGGUGAAAUGCGUAGAGAUUGGGAGGAACACCAGUGGCGAAGGCGACUUACUGGGCCGUAACUGGCGCUGAGGGGCGAAAGCGGGGGGAGUGAACAGGAUUAGCUGCCCUGGGCGCCCACGUUAUAAACGAGGAAUGCCAGGUGUUUCGGGUAUCGACCCCUGCAGUGCCGGAGUAAACACAAUAAGCGUUCCGCCUGGGGAGUACGGUCGCAAGGUUGAAACUCAAAUGAAUUGGCGGGG
rnacentral:rRNA from 1 species